rnacentral:rRNA from 1 species
GAUGAACGCUGGCGGCGUGCCUAAUACCUGCAAGUCGAGCGAAGCGGGGACGGGUGAGUAACACGUGGAUAACCUCCUAUAAGACUGGGAUAACUUCGGGAAACCGGAGCUAAACCGGAUACUUAUAGAUGGAUCCGCGCGGCAUUAGCUAGUUGGUAAGGUAACGGCUUCCCAAGGCAACGAUGCAUCGCCGACCUGAUAGGGUUGUCGGCCAACCUCGAACUGAUACACGGUCCAGAAUCCGACGAGGGGAGUCGGUGGGGAAUCUUCCGCAACUGGCCAAAGACUGACGGAGCAACGCCGCGUGAUUGAUGAAGGUCUUCGGAUCGUAAAACUCUGUUAGUAGUGAAGCGGUACUUAAUCAGAAAGCCACGGAUAACUACGUGCCUGCAGCCGCGGUAAUUC